CUCUGCCGUCGCCCCGGCUGGGACAGCGGCCCGUCCUCCCUCCCAGCCUGGCGGGCUCCGGGCGAUGCUGAAAGAUCCUGGAAUCCCGCCCGGCAGUGCCCCUUGUUCCGGGCAGGCACACCAGGCUCCCAAGUGCUUGCUAUCAGCUUCCAUCAGAUCCAGAUUAAGAAAUUAGCCUUCGACUAAUCAUUUAAAUUAAUGGUCCCAGACUGGUACAUAAAGUUAGCUGACGCAGGUCCAGCCUAGACUUCAGCCUUUCCUAAAGCACGCCUGGGGUGCUGCUUUCCUGCCUGUCUCUUCUGUCCUUCGGUGGGAGCACGGUGGCAACUGGAAACUGGCAUUGAAGUGGCCUCAAACGCUGGCACUGAGGGUCAGCCUGAGGCCUUUGAGCACAGAGUGUGGCCAGAGCAAAGCACAGACCUAUGUUGCAGUGGUGGACAUGGUUUUGUCACAGUGCUAACACUCAACAACCCAGCCAGGAAUCAGCAGCCAUCCUGUCCUGCUGUGAACGUUAUUGAAAUGAUCCUCAGGUGAUGUUUCCAAUUCUAACAUCCUAUUUCCUCUAAGGUACUUUAAAAACAGUUUUAAUAACAGUCAAGGCAGAGGGCACAUCAAACAACCAAUUAAAUUUGCUUUGAACAGCUCCUACCUGAUAAAAAUAAAUGCAGAGAAAAUAUUGAUGGUGGGUCAUAUGCACUGAGUACUUGUUGAAAUUAUGAUAAACUGCACU